UACUUUAGCCAUCCCACUUUUUAAAUGCCUGCUCUCGUCUGACCUCUGGAGCUCAGCAGGGUUGGGCCUGGUUCUUAUUUGGAUGGGAGACUGCUGAGAAUAGAUGCCAUAGGGGAGCAGCAGUGGCUCUAGUGU
rnacentral:rRNA from 1 species